rnacentral:rRNA from 1 species
ACCCAAUAGAUACCCGGGUAGUCCACGCCGUAAACGAUGAGUACUAGGUGUAGGGGGUAUCGACCCCCUCUGUGCCGAAAGCUAAACGCGAUAAAGUACUCCGCCUGGGGACUACGGCCGCAAGGCUAAACUCAAAGGAAUUGACGGGGCCCGCACAAGCAGCGGAGCGUGUGGUUUAAUUCGAUGGUACGCGAAGAACCUCACCCAGGUUUGACAUGCAUGUGGUACUGAUGUGAAAGCUGAUGGACCCUUCGGGGAGCAUGCACAGGUGUUGCACGGCCGUCGUCAGCUCGUGCCGUGAGGUGUUGGGUUAAGUCCCGCAACGAGCGCAACCCUGUCGCCAGUUGUAUUUUCUGGCGAGACUGCCGAGAAAACCUCGGAGGAAGGAGGGGACGAUGUCAGGUCAGCGUGGCCCUUACGCCUGGGGCUACACACACGCUACAAUGGGUGGUACAACGGGCAGCCAAGCCGCGAGGCGGAGCUAAUCCCAUCAAAACCAUCCUCAGUUCGGAUUGCAGGCUGAAACUCGCCUGCAUGAA